GGGAAUAUAAUACUAAAUACUCUGUUAUAUAGAACUUUCUAUGCCUUUUCCUCUAUGGCUACGGAAGCGUGGACAACGGAGACAAAUUAACCAAUUUAAUGAAUAUGGCUUUUGACAAAUCUUCUUCUCGGUGGGUAAGGACGAAACCGAUAUCCUGACCUGCCUGUCAUUAGUCCUUCAGACAUAC
rnacentral:snoRNA from 19 species